rnacentral:lncRNA from 12 species
CAUGGGACUCAGAUAACGGUGACUCUGGCAUUUUUUUUUCUUAAGUUGCAACACAACUUUAGCUUUUCCACAAGGCACACGUCCAUUGUUCCAGGGUUAGAUAACAUUUUUCUGGAACUCAAAAGAAAACAAAGUCGUAUUCGGAAUGACAACUUAUAAACAUUUCAGGAAAAUAUGCCAAUGUGCUGAUGCCCACAUACGUGGCCUCCCCUCACGCUCCUCCUGUCUUCACAGCUAACCACUGUCACUGGGGAAAGAUCCAUGUUGGGAGGAAGCUACGAUAGUGUGGAGACGGGAGAAGGCAAUUCUUGGCCCGGGGAGAGAAUGGAAACCAUCUGAGAUCCCUCAGCUACGGACCCUCUAGGUCAGGAGGCGUCCAACAGUAAGGAGAGUUUCCGCGAGCUGAGCACCGCUCUGGACGGAGCUAAACCACAGUGGUGGGGUUCGGGGGGCCCCGGCUUGGCCACAGUAGGAAUAAAGGACACAGGUGAGAACAGCUGUUUCAAGGAAGCCCCCGUGAAGAAAGUCAGGUUUGGGUGACAGCGGGGGGAGGAGGAGGCGCUCCCUGGCAGAAGGCCGCAGGCAGGCCCACUAAUCCGCCUGAGGGCAAGACUGAGCGGCUGACACAGAGCAGGGUCGGCUGCUGCGCCAAGGCCAGGACGCAAGGGGCUGAGGUCGGCCCGAGGGUAGGAUGCUCUUCCACCGGCAGGUUGGAAACUGCAGAAACUUCUGUGCCACAUGCCCCUGAUCGGACAAUAUAUUCCAGACAAAGCAGAGACACCAGAAGCAUUUCAACAGUUUCCUCAUUAAACUUCCCCAUUGAAAUGGAUAAUGAGAAUGCAUGAAGGUAAGAUUUACAGUAUAUUUGAGAUUCUUUCUCCAAAAUAUGAGAGUGUAAAAUUUACUGAACAAGUUAAAGGAAUAUGAUGAAAGUGAUGGUGAUUCGGGAUCUCCAGUGAUGGUGAUGCAGGAUCUCCAAAAUGGGUAGUCACGUGCAUGGUGUGUCUGGUGUGCGUGGUGGACAGAAGACAGGCUCACCAGUAGUAUUUAUGGUAAAGGUAUUGCAGAGAGCAACAACUAUAGCAAACACUGAAUAGCUCGGUUUUAACACUCCAAAUUUAAAAGUUUACAUCUUCAAAAAGGGAUCAAAAUAAAAAUGUAUAGACCAAAUGCCCUAAUAUCCUU